rnacentral:rRNA from 1 species
UACAGAGGUCCCAAGCGUUGUUCGGAUUCAUUGGGCGUAAAGGGUGCGUAGGCGGCGCGGUAAGUCGGGUGUGAAAGUCCAGGGCUCAACCCUGGGAUGCCGGUCGAUACUGCCGGACUAGAGUUCGGAAGAGGCGAGUGGAAUUCCCGGUGUAGCGGUGAAAUGCGCAGAUAUCGGGAGGAACACCUAUGGCGAAGGCAGCUCGCUGGGACGUUACUGACGCUGAGACGCGAAAGCGUGGGGAGCAAACAGG